rnacentral:misc_RNA from 1 species
GAUGAAGAACGUAGCGAAACGCGAAAGGUAAUGCGAAUUGCAGAAUCAGUGAGUCAUCGAAUCUUUGAACGCACAUUGCGCCCUCUGGUAUUCCGGGGGGCAUGCCUGUUCGAGCGUCAUUAUAACCACUCAAGCUCUCGCUUGGUAUUGGGGUUCGCGGUUCCGCGGCCCCUAAAAUCAGUGGCGGUGCCUGUCGGCUCUACGCGUAGUAAUACUCCUCGCGAUUGAGUCCGGUAGGUCUACUUGCCAGCAACCCCCAAUUUUUACAGGUUGACCUCGGAUCAGGUAGGGAUACCCGCUGAACUUAAGCAUAUCAAUAAGCGGAGGA